UAACGCGUGGGAAUCUGCAAUCAGUGGGGAAUAACGACGGGAAACUGUCGCUAAUACCGCAUACGCCCUUAGGGGGAAAGAUUUAUCGCUGAUAGAUGAGCCCGCGUACGAUUAGCUAGUUGGUGAGGUAAUGGCUCACCAAGGCUACGAUCGUUAGCUGGUCUGAGAGGAUGAUCAGCCACACUGGGACUGAGACACGGCCCAGACUCCUACGGGAGGCAGCAGUGGGGAAUAUUGGACAAUGGGCGAAAGCCUGAUCCAGCAAUGCCGCGUGAGUGAUGAAGGCCUUAGGGUUGU
rnacentral:rRNA from 1 species